rnacentral:lncRNA from 1 species
CUGAAAGAAAGGGAGAAGUCUGCAGGAGGCAAUUAAAGAAACAUAGAUGGAAAGAGGCCUUCAUUCUAGCUGCAGAUCACAGCACCUGUUCUGAGGCUUUUCACAGAUUCUCCUCUGGAUAGGACUCUUGUGGAGGGAGAAGUGAGAGGCCCUGUUGCUCAUUAAUGGAAACACUGCUGCCUGUGCUCCAUGUGAGAACACCCUAAUAUCAUCCUUCAGGCAGAAGCAGACUGGGGCCUUUUUUACCUGGCUGUACUGUUCCCUCGAUGGUGUGAUUCCCUCUGGCAGAGAGGUGAUGCAAGAUCAAUAGGAAGGAGUCCAUCUGUGGCCUCAAAGUCUCUUGGUUAAAAUGAGAGCAGCUCCCUCUUGAGAAACCAAUGUGCUGCAGGCUGAAGAGCCCAGAAUUAUUGAAUUUCUAUUCCCCCUGAAGGCAAUUAGAAACUAUGAUCAAGGCACACUUUAGCCUUUUUAUGGAGGUGCUCUUCUGGUCACGAACAAA